UACGUAGGGGGCAAGCGUUGUCCGGAAUCAUUGGGCGUAAAGAGCGUGUAGGCGGCUCGAUAAGUCUGCUGUGAAAGUCCAGGGCUCAACCCUGGAAGGCCGGUGGAAACUGUCGGGCUAGAGUUCGGAAGAGGCGAGUGGAAUUCCCGGUGUAGCGGUGAAAUGCGCAGAUAUCGGGAAGAACACCCGUGGCGAAGGCGGCUACACUGGCCCGGUACUGACGCUGAGGUGCGAAAGCGUGGGGAGCAACAGG
rnacentral:rRNA from 1 species